UUGAGUUUGAUGAAUAAAAUAGUAAUUGUGGAGCCGCUUUGACUUCCUUCUCUUCACAACUCUAAGAAUACAUUCAGAGUCAUUUAGAGACAGUGUGAUGUGGUCCAAGUCAAGCAGCUUCUGAAAACAGUCUUUGAGAGAACCUGCCACUUCAAACAUACGGGUCCAGGAUCUUUGGAGGUUCCUCAGGUUCUGCUGACUCAGCGCCCUGACCUCCGUCCUGUAAGAAGAAAGAAUGAUCUUAAUCCAGGAAACUCCACACCGAGUACCAUACAAUGUCCUCAAUUAAAAACCUGAAGCAAACAGUGGAGCUGGGCGGCGCUGGUCUGACUCAUACUGAUAUUGUUUUGAUUAAGAGCCCCCUGGUGGCUGAAUUUUACAUACUCUGCAUUAAAGGACUGAUGUUUUAUGUCUGAACUCUGUUUAAAUAUUAAUAUCAGACAAAAUUAUUUUGUAGACACUAGGAUAUUGGCAAAACUCCAAUAUUAUGUUGAUGAUUGUGAUUAGUUUCCCAGCACUAGCAGUAAGUUACUCUACAGAGCUGGGCCUUUUAAUACUCAGAAGCAGCAGUUUCAUCACGCUCUUUGAAACCACCAGACCCCAUCAACAAACAGCAGUUUUAACUCUCAGCAGACAAGCUUAAGAUAAAAUGACUGUUUAUGAAAAUGCAGUCUGGUAGGUUUCAGGGAGGGGAUAUAACAGGAUUUUUUCAUUUACAUAUAUUCUUUUUGCUUUUUAUCAUAAAGGCUUUUUUUUCUGUAGGGAUCCUGUCCAUAAUGGUGUCAGAAUAACAAUUUAAGCCCAUCAGCAGAUAAAGGAAGAAACUUAAAAGAGUUUACAUCAGGACACAAGGAUAUGGUCUUAGUCUAACAGCUUGUCAUGAUGCCUUGGUAAAACCUUCAGUUUAGCUCUACGCCGAGUACACCACCAAAAAUUGGGCUCCAAUGAUUGGCUUCACAGUUUGAUGUGCAGGUAAACUGAAACCUAUCAUGGCACUCUUUGUUGAUUGUCCAGUGCCAGGCUGUAUCAAUCAGAGGCUAAGCACAGUGAACUCUACCAGGUGGUAGAGAAAAAUCUUUACAAGGUCGGCGACUGUUCAGUCCUCUUCCCCUCUCCUCAUUCAUCUCAUUGAAUCAACUGGAGAUGGAGAGUUUCUGAUUGGCAGUUUGAGAUUAAAAAAGGAAUCCCAAUGUGUUUGCUUGGUGAUAUGACUGUCUAUGGAAAAGACAUGUUUGUUUGCAGUAAAAAUACCCUGAGAUAGCGAGUUCAACCUGAGCAUCAUCAUCACAACUUCACAAUGCACUGUGGUGGCUGUUUAAGUCAAUGUAAUUCCCACUGCACAAAUUAUUUUAAGAAGAAUCAUCCUUAAUGUAACAUUGCAGCCAACUAUAGGCUUUUUAGGCAUCUAGUGCUCUCACUUCCUUAUGAACGAGUAAUCAGUUAUUCCCAACUCAAUAUUUUAAGAGGAAUUUUGGACAACAGGACAAUUUCCCAACAUGCACCACUUCUUAGCUUUUUGAGGUGCACUGCUGUUUCAGUAUUGUGCUGCUCAUCAGUGCUACGUGUCUGUAGGACAGCUGUCUAUAAAUCCCAGUGGUGAAUGAAAUGACUGCUGAGAGCUUUCCAUGAGUCUGUAGAAACAGCCACUUUGUAGAAAAAUCUGCUCUCAGUUCUCUCAGUUUAAAAUUCCGAUUUGUUUUUUUCUUUUGUCUUCAGAGUCCUAUAACUUUUUUUAAAAAUCAAGUGACACUAAUGAAGUAGAUACAGUGCAUCCAGGAAGUAUGCACAACACUUCACUUUUUCCACAUUUUGUU